rnacentral:lncRNA from 1 species
GAACCUCUUGCUCCAUAUACUAAAAUUAGCUGACCGUUAUUUUCAUAUAUGAACCAAAGAGGUGUUUGUCUACAACGUACACAGUUACCAAGAUGCCUUCAGGUAGUCUGGGUUUCACUACAAUAGCUGUGAAGCACCUAUUAUAAACUAAGUACUCUUAUACAUGAAAAGUACACAAUUCCUACCCCAUAGAAAAUAGAGUAUAGACAGGGGCAGUAUAAGUAAACAAAACAAUGACAGGACAAUGCAAAGAGAGCAUCAGCAGCAAAAAGCUCUGUGCCAUCUGGGUAAGAGAUGAUACAGAAGGGGGAAUGGUUAACUUGUUCUAGAGGCAUCAGGAAAUGUUUCAAGCAAGAGAGAAAAUCCAGGAUGAUGUUCUCCUACAAGAAACCUAAAAAAAUCAAGGAAAGUAUAUUUCUUUAUAUUUAAACAUGCUUUUCUAACCCUGAGUUUUUCAUUUAAUGAGGAAUAUAUUAUAAAGAAGAGUGGUAAAUGUUACUGAGUUGUCCUUAACCUUCAAAAAAGUUUUAACUAUGUGCUGUAGAUAAAAACUAUAAUACUUAAGGAUCUAUAUCUUCUCACCAGAUUUUCCAAGUGUGUUAAUAAUAAAUCUACUCUGGAAAAAUAUUACCUAUGAUUAAACUACAUUCCCCGUUAUUGACCUUUACGACCUCAUGCUUCCUUUGCUAGGGUGCUAUAAUUACCUCAUAAAAGAAAGGGUAGAGUAACAGGACCCAUGAAGAUAAAAAACAUCCACUGAAUUUCCCUCACUCAAGCUAUCAUCUGGAAUCUCUGAGUCUCUCAACCUUUUUCUAAAGCUAUUAAUAUUAUUGCUGUGUUGACCUUUGCUGCUGUUUGCCAUUUUGAAAUUUACAGAUCAGCAAGCACCAGUAAAUCUUGUCAGAAUUAAUGCAAAUGUAAGACACAGUCAUUACAGGCUCCUCACGGUAAAGAAUAGCUUGCUACAAUGUUAUUACCGAGACACAAUUUAUCCUGAUUGCCAGAAAGAUGAGACACCCUGAAUAUAAGCAGUAAACUGGCUCUGAGAAAUAAAUCUCACUGGCAUUGCCCACACAGAAGUUUGCUCACGCGGAUGAAUGCUGUCAGUGCAGCGAGUGGCGGAGUGAUUGAUUCACUCCCGUACAUCUCCCAUCUCCCCCUGCUGGAGAAUGAAAGUUAAUUUGCUCUCAUUCAUUCUGUUCACCACACUAGAUGUUUUUAAGGGUUGAACUCAGAAAAUGAAGACAAGUAAAUAAUGGUUUCGAUGACUUUUUUUCCCGGCAGUGGAUGUGCCUUCAUAUUUCAACCCUGCACAUUUCUUUCAUAGGGUAGCUAUGAUUAAUAUACCAAUGAAUUCCAAGUCAAACAGGAAACAUUAUUUGCUCUGUUGGAUGAGCUUAUGUUUCUGAUAUAUAAAAAAGUGAUUCCAUAAAAGAAUUGAGGAUAUAUAGGUAGCAAAAUUCCAGUUCAUGACAAUUUCAUCUUCUCAGUGCAUUUUUAAAUCACUUUUUCUCUAUGAAAAAUUCUUGCAAUGAUAUUAAAGAACUAAGAAUUUUAAUGUAGUCUUCUUUAAAGAAUAGAGUGAAUGUUGGUGGCCAAAAGAAUGAGAGUUAUGAUCAACUCAGUAUACCACUGGAGGCUACAGGAGCAAACAGCAAACUGUUUCUCAUGAAAGCAGGAUGUUCAAAGCAGGAUGUUGGCAAAAUGACAAACUGCAUCUGCCACCCAGAAGGAAUGCUGAGGGCAGUCAUGCCCCAAGUGCAGUGUUUUUGUGAUUAGGCACAACUGAAGCUUGUUAGCAAUAAUAUGACCCUGUGAUUAAUUGAGCGGCUGACCAAUCAUUACCUCCUCCUCCCUGCUCUUUCUACCCAAUAAAUACAAAGGGCUGUGGAAGCUCAAUGGGCUGCCUUUGCUCAUUAGAAGCAGGGAGCUCUCUUCUUCUUCCCCUGGAUCCUUCCUUUAAAAUAGUUUCUUUUGUCUUAAGUUUUCAUUUCUACGUUUGUCCCUUCAUUCAGUCUCUUAAAUGACGGUCUCAAGCAGUAACAGUAGUAAUUGCUGUAAUGACGGUCUCAAGUAGUAACCAGGGCACUCUGCCACAAGUGGCACCUGAACAGGGACUAACAGGGACUAUCAAGAACAAACGGAGACCUGAAGAGACCUGAAGGGAACUGAAGAGGUCUGCAGGGACAAAUAGAGAUAAGUAGGGAUAAAUAGAGAUAAAUAGAGACAAAUAGAGAUAGGUAAGGAAUGACAGGGACUUGCAGGAAGUAACAGGGACCAUAGGGACAGAUAGGGAUAGAUAAAGACUAGCAAAGACUAGCCGAGAUUAGCAAAGACCAGCAAGGACUAGCAGAGACUAGCAAAGACUAGCAGAAACUUGCAGGGACAGGCAGAGACAGAUAGGGACAGAUAGGGUCCUACAGGGACUUGAACGAGGAAGAUCUGCUGGAAAAGAAAAGAACUACAACCAACCAGAUGAACAAGAAACCCUGUUACAAGUCUGCUGGCAGCAACAUAAGUGACACAAAGUGAACCGGGUUCUAUAAAUUACCAUGGAAAGUGGUGAGCCAACGAUUUGGCAGAACAAAACCCUGAGGAUAUGCAAACAAAAGGGACUAUGGAAUUUGCAAUUGCAGAUUAAAAUUGAAGAAGAAAACAUUUGAGUUGCAAAUACCGUAUUAAAAGUGGACACUGCUUAUGACUGCUGUAUGCAACAGUUUUUCAGGCCCGAGGUGAUAAAUAAAAAAUUGUUUGCUCUAUUUAACCAUUGAAUGCUUGGACUACUUUUGUAUCCUUAAGAUGUGAAGUGUUCUUCACUAGAAGUAAACAUUAAGGUCAUUUACCAUUGAUUGCUUAAGGAGGAACCCAGACAUGCUCUAUUUGCAAACCGACUGCAUGAAACAAAAAGCACGGUAAUUCUGAAGCUGUUGGCUUGGAUGAAAUGAGAAUGUAAUUAAAAAGAAAAAGGUUAGCAAAAGAACAUGCUGGGAAUUGAAAAUAAAAAUCUGAAAUGAUGUCCCAGCCUGCCCUUAAGGUCUUUUCCACCAUGUAGAGAGCUACCUCAAAUGCUCUACUUGUCCCAGAGUCUAUGUUCUUUCACUACUAUUGCCUAUAUCUGUGUUUUCUGCUUUCAAUAAUCUAUUGAAAUAAUCAAAAUUAAUUACAUUCAGCAUUUUUUCUGUAUUACUCUGAUUCUAAUAAUUACCUCAAAUUUAUUUGUGCAUUUCUAUACUAGAAAGAAAAAAUAAUUUUUAGAGUUUUACUAUAUCUUCCCCUUAAUUCUAAGUUGCUUGUCACUAAUUCCUUUCCCAACACUAUGUUAUUUCCACCAAGAACAUUACCAAUAUCUUCAGGAAAAUUCCACCCCAUAUUUUAAGCCAGAUUGAUUAUUGGGAAUAUAAAUACAUUUAAGAAGGAAAGUCUUUUUGACUGUGUUUCUCCACAGACCAAUAGUAUACAAAACACAGAAGGCUUUUAAGCACAUUUCAUAGGGAUCACUGACUUAGAACAGAAGGAACCAUUUCGUGAAACACUCUCAUUUUGCACAUAAAGGAGCUGUGGCCCACAGAGGAAUAUGAUUUACUGAGAGUGACCCAGUUAGUGGCCAUAAACCAAAAGCCCCAAGAUGCUAAAUGUUUGUUAUGAAGAGUAAAAAUCCUCCCAGUUUAUAAGAAGUAACUUCAUCCUUCCAUUUUCUAUUUCCACGAUGACUCCCCUGGCUUAAAUUUUAAUCUCUAUUUUGGAUGACUCCAAAAUCUCAUUCUUCUAAAUUAAUUAUCUAAUACCACAAUGUUGCACUUAUCUUCCUACAAAUCUACUUUCAUCUGCCUUGACAAAGCCAACCCUAAUUUUCUCUAGUCCUCAUUAGAAAUUAUUGCAACAAAAAUUCACAUCCAGUCUGAAGUUUGGGAGCCAGAAAAGAAUUUUCCCAUUAAGAUGAGACAGUAUCAAUUAUUAAGCAGAGGAAGACACAAGAGGGAAAGCAGCUUUCACAUGAAAAAAAAAGAACUCUGAUUUUCUGACACAUUUUGUCAUUGCAGUCAAACUUUCAGAGUUAGAACUAGAGACCUAGAUAUUAGCUAACCCAGCAUUUUCCAAGUAUUCCUCGGAACUCUAGAGGCACAGCAUAGUACUGGUAAUGAUUUUGUGGCAGGAUAGAUUAAGGAAACCUCACAGUUAUACCAAGUUAAAUUCAUUUAUUUCAUGUAAAAUUCUGAUAGCCUUUUAUGCUACUAGGCCUAGUGAUACUCCAAAAUUAUUGGCCAUAUAUCUGAAAUUUAUUUCAGCAAGAAACCCUUUAAAGAGCAUCCCGCAGAGUUAGUGUUUUGAGGGAUAUCAUUGGGGAAAAUGCUGAUCUAGACCAAUUCAACAAAUUGUAACUUAGUUAACACCAGAGUCAAAACAAAAACCAAGUCUACUCAUGUCUGUCUUAGGCCCUUUUGGUCACAAAAACACGUUCAAACCACUUCAAUUAAGAAAAUGGUGAGAGGGGAAAAGACAAGCAGGGAACCUUAUCCCAGGUGGGCUGAUCACAGGACUUCCAAGGCUGUCCCUUAGAAGAGUCACGAUAAUGGCAUCUCUAGCACAAAACUCAAAUUUAGUUUUAAUUCUUAGUCGAAUAAUAAUACAGUAAAAUUUAUUGCAUGCAUAAGGAUAAUACAUUAAAACUACUUAAAUUACAUUUUAGGGCCGGGCGCGGUGGCUCACGCCUGUAAUCCCAGCACUUUGGGAGGCCGAGGCGGGUGGAUCACGAGGUCAGGA